UGUAUCGAGAGUCGCCCCCUCCGGGACACGGGCACCGAGCCCCAUUCCCCAACCCCGCCAGCACCAUGUCCUCCUCCACCCAGGCCGGCAAGGGCAAGAGGCAUAGCGUCGUGGUCAGCUUGACAUCAAAGCUGGAAUUAAAUAUGAAGAGGACAUCUAUUUCAGGAACUAGCAGCCAAAGACGAAUGAGCUAUGUUAGUGGUUUCAACCCAAACAGAGUUGGAUCAUUGAGUCGAAGAAGCAUACUGAUGGCUUCUGAUGGCAAAACCAUGGAUAAGGGGUCUCUCAUAGGGAGUAGGCAUACCAUUCAGGUAUUUGAUGAGCAAGGGAAGGAUGUAACACCUCGGCCACUCUAUCAUCCAGAACCAAGUGCUUCGCUACACAGACAAAGCAAAAUCUUAUCAACGCAGGAUUUCUCUGGGGCCACUGGAUCUGAUUUUCUGUCUUCCUUAUCCAUGCAUCAGACAUCUGGAGUUAAUGCUAGUUUAGUAGGUCCAUUCUCAAGGACAUAUGGAAGCAGCAGUAUUUCUAAAUCAUCAUCUACAACUGAGUCUAUGGCAGAUGAAAUAGUAGAGCCUGGUUCUAGACGAGACACAGCUAUUAGCUUAUCUGAUGUACAGGUGAGGCGAGAUGAGAUAAAAGAACAACUGACAAAAGAAGACAUUGAUAAGAGAGUGGAUAUUUACCUCACGGAGACAGAAACUAUCUGGCUAUUGGACAUGCCAACUGUCAUGAUGUCUGUAGAAUCUGAAGAUGCUGAAAAAGUGCAGGAACGGAACAAGGAUUAUAUUGAGCUUUGUAAAAAUAGAGUUGGUAAUGAUCGCUUUGUGGAAAGGAUGAUGCAAACGCUUAAUGGAGCACCAAAGAAUAAAGAAGUGCAAUGUGAGAAAAUCCUUAUGGAGGAUAAAGGGAUAAUGGCCACUUCUUGGGACUUGUAUGAUUCCUUUAAUGCCUUGGAAACAACACUUACAUCUUCAAUAACGGAAAGAAGUAGCAGACCAACAAGUGUGAGUAGCAGUAAAUCUAAUGUGACCAAAGACCGUGAACGAACCAUGUCUACGACUUCUACAGAUAGAGAGAGCAUAACCUCAAAUUCUAUAAUCGAUUUGGAAAGUGUUAUUCUUGCCAGAAUCCACAAAGAAGAGGAAGACCAUUCUGAAGCGAUAUUAAAAUCAGAAAAAUUUCAGCAGGAUUUAUUUUUUAUGGAAAGGGUUCUAAUGGAGAAUGUUUUUCAGCCCAAACUUGCAGCUUAUCGGCAACUUCCUGUUCUUAUAGAACCAGUUCUUACAUCUGAUGCUGGCAAAGAGGAAGGAGAAACAGAAGAAGCAGAAGAGGAGGAGGAGGAAGGGGGUGAGGAAGAGGAAGAGGAGGAAGAGCAAAAGGAGACAGUAGUUAGUUCAUCAAUUUUGUUAGAUCUAAGUGAAGCACCAGAAGAAAUCUUACCGCCCAGUCUGGAACGACUGUGGUCCUAUACAUGUGAGUGGACUAAUGGCCACAAUGUGAGCAGCAUGGCUUGGAACAAGUUAAACCCAGAUCUUUUGGCUGUUGGUUAUGGGCAGUUUGGUUUUCAAGAACAGAAGAAAGGCUUGGCUUGCUGCUGGUCACUCAAGAACCCUAUGUGGCCAGAGCGUAUUUAUCAAUGUGAUCAUGGUGUUACUGCACUGGAUUUCUCUCUGGCAAACCCAAACCUUUUAGCAGUUGGAAUGUACAGUGGCACAGUAGCCAUCUAUAAUGUACAGACCCAUAAUACCACCGCACUUUUGGACAGCAGUGAAUCUUUUGAUAAGCAUAUAGGCCCUGUAUGGCAGCUGAAGUGGAUCGAACAGGACAGAGGCACAACGGGAGAUGACAAAGGAGAGAUAUUAAUCUCUAUCUCAGCAGAUGGCAGAAUAACCAAGUGGCUUAUACGCAAAGGACUAGGCUGCACUGAUCUGAUGAAACUGAAGCGAACCGCAAGUGAAAGGAAAAAACUAACUGGUGAAAAAGAAAAGAAAAGUGAAGCUCUGAUAUCUCGACAGGCACCUGGAAUGUGCUUUGACUUUCAUCCAAGGAAUACUAAUAUAUACCUGGCUGGGACAGAAGAAGGGCAUAUUCACAAAUGUUCUUGUUCAUAUAAUGAGCAGUUCCUAGAGACCUACCAAGCACAUAAGGGUCCUGUGUACAAGAUAGCAUGGAAUCCAGUCAGUGCUGACAUCUUUUUAAGCUGCUCUGCGGACUGGAGUAUUAUUUUGUGGCACCAAGAUUUAGUAAGGCCCAUUUUAACUUUCAGUUCCACCACUAAUGUUGUUCAUGACAUUAUGUGGUCUCCAAAAUCAGCCUUUGUAUUUGCAGCAGUGAAUGAAGGCAGAAUGGAAAUCUGGGACAUGAGUGUCAGCACUUUGGACCCCCUGAUUGUGACCUUUGCCAACCCAGGAGUGAAAUUCACAACUGUGCUUUUUGCUAAAAACACAGACUGCAUUCUAAUAGGGGACAGUAAUGGAACCGUCAGUGUGUAUGAGCUGAGGAACAUGACUGCUUCAGAUAGUAAUAAGAAACACUAGGAUUUCUGAACCAGAGGGAUACAUGAGGUCCAAUUCAGGACUUGGACUCCACUUGAUUGAAAAGGUGGAUGCUUUACAUGACAUAAUUGGUUCUGCUCUAGCCAAUUAACACUAGUUUACUGAUAAUACUUCUCAGUCACUAAACAAAGGAAAAGACAACAAAUAAUGAUGUCCUAUGUGUCUGUAUAUCCUGAAGCCUGUCAUUUAAUUAUGCAGAAAAAAAUCACCGUAAAAUGCUAUAUUGUAUUAAAUAAAGUGUAACAAUUUUUCCAUCAUUAAAUGUAUCUGGAAUCAAA